rnacentral:rRNA from 1 species
GUGUCAGCCGCCGCGGUAAUACGAAGGGGGCUAGCGUUGCUCGGAAUUACUGGGCGUAAAGGGAGCGUAGGCGGACUGUUAAGUUAGAGGUGAAAGCCCAGGGCUCAACCUUGGAAUUGCCUUUGAUACUGGCAGUCUUGAGUACGGAAGAGGUAUGUGGAACUCCGAGUGUAGAGGUGAAAUUCGUAGAUAUUCGGAAGAACACCAGUGGCGAAGGCGACAUACUGGUCCGUUACUGACGCUGAGGCUCGAAAGCGUGGGGAGCAAACAGGAUUAGAUACCCUUGUAGUCC